rnacentral:rRNA from 1 species
UGACCUCAAAUCAGGUAGGACUACCCGCUGAACUUAAGCAUAUCAAUAAGCGGAGGAAAAGAAACUAACAAGGAUUCCCCUAGUAACUGCGAGUGAAGCGGGAAAAGCUCAAAUUUAAAAUCUGGCAGUCUUUGACUGUCCGAGUUGUAAUCUAGAGAGGUGAUUUCGGCGCUGGACCGUGUACAAGUCUCCUGGAAUGGAGCGUCAUAGAGGGUGAGAAUCCCGUCUCUGACACGGGCUGCCAGGGCUUUGUGAAGCACUCUCAAAGAGUCGAGUUGUUUGGGAAUGCAGCUCAAAAUGGGUGGUAAAUUCCAUCUAAAGCUAAAUAUUGGCGAGAGACCGAUAGCGAACAAGUACCGUGAGGGAAAGAUGAAAAGAACUUUGGAAAGAGAGUUAAACAGUACGUGAAAUUGCUGAAAGGGAAACGCUUGAAGUCAGUCGCGUUGUCCAGGGAUCAACCUUGCUUUUGCUUGGUGUACUUUCUGGUUGACGGGUCAGCAUCAAUUUUGACUAUUGGAAAAAAAUCAGGGAAAUGUGGCAUCUUUGGAUGUGUUAUAGUCCUUGGUUGUAUAC